AGAAAUGCUCUUAUUUUAGCUCUCCCCUAUAUAUAUAUAUAUAUAGAGGUAAUAGAUUAUAAAUAGAUUAAAUCACAUGGACUUUGUGUUAGAAAAUAUGUGUAGAAAACCUUGGUAACAAAAGUUUAAUAAGAACUGAGACUAAAGUUAAACUCUAUCUCUACAAGACAAAAUCUCUACUAUAGUGCAUGCAGUUCUACAGCCUUUAUCCAGUUCGCACCAUUCGGCAUAGAAAAUUGAGUUAGCCAUAAAUAGCUAAUUAAAAAAAAUUGCGAGAGAUUAUUCUUUAAAAAAAAAAAAACAGUAGAGUUUCCCUCAAAAAACAAACACAAAACACUGGAGUGCUUCUUAGCGGAGCACAUUUGAUGACUCUAUAAUGAUGUGGUGCAUCUUUCAAAAGCA
rnacentral:lncRNA from 1 species